GACCUAAGCGGGAGUUUGAGCGGCAUCGCUGAAGGUGAAAUGAUAAUUUAAAUGGACUAAACGGAGGCGGUCACCAAGGAUGGCAAAGCCAACGACCAGCAGGGAGACAGAGGCCAAAGACAGAUGUUGAAUACAUUAUUUGCGAUAUUAGAGAUUGGCAUUCUAACAAUAAAAGCUUUAAAUUAA